rnacentral:rRNA from 1 species
UACGAAGGGGGGCUAGCGUUGCUCGGAAUCACUGGGCGUAAAGGGUGCGUAGGCGGGUUUUUAAGUCAGGGGUGAAAUCCUGGAGCUCAACUCCAGAACUGCCUUUGAUACUGAAGAUCUUGAGUCCGGGAGAGGUGAGUGGAACUGCGAGUGUAGGGGUGAAAUUCGUAGAUAUUCGCAAGAACACCAGUGGCGAAGGCGGCUCACUGGCCCGGUACUGACGCUGAGGCACGAAAGCGUGGGGAGCAAACAGG